rnacentral:rRNA from 1 species
CCUACGGGAGGCAGCAGUGAGGAAUAUUGGUCAAUGGCCGAGAGGCUGAACCAGCCAAGUCGCGUGAGGGAAGACGGCCCUAUGGGUUGUAAACCUCUUUUGUCGGGGAGCAAAGCGAACCACGUGUGGGUAAUUGUGAGUACCCCACGAAAAAGCAUCGGCUAACUCCGUGCCAGCAGCCGCGGUAAUACGGAGGGUGCGAGCGUUAAUCGGAAUUAUUGGGCGUAAAGCGCUCGUAGGCGGUAUGGCAAGUCAAGCGUGAAAUCCCCGGGCUCAACGUGGGAACUGCCGUGGAAACUGGCAAACUGGAGUGUGUGAGAGGAUAGUGGAAUUCGAGGUGUAGGGGUGAAAUGCGUAGAUAUCUGGAGGAACAUCAGUGGCGAAGGCGACUAUCUGGCACAUAACUGACGCUGAGGAGCGAAAGCGUGGGUAGCAAACAGGAUUAGAUACCCUUGUAGUC